AUUGAACGCUGGCGGCAGGCCUAACACAUGCAAGUCGAGCGGAGCGGCGGACGGGUGAGUAAUGCCUAGGAAUCUGCCUGGUAGUGGGGGAUAACGUCCGGAAACGGGCGCUAAUACCGCAUACUAUUAGAUGAGCCUAGGUGGGAUUAGCUAGUUGGUGGGGUAAAGGCCUACCAAGGCGACGAUCCGUAACUGGUCUGAGAGGAUGAUCAGUAAAACUGGAAUUGAGACACGGUCCAGACUCUGAAGGGAGGCAGCAGUGGGGAAUAUUGGACAAUGGGCGAAGUCCUGAUCCAGCCAUGCGGGGUGGGGGAAGAAGGUCUUCGGAUUGUAAAGCACUUUAAGUUGGGAGGCGUUACCAACAGAAUAAGCACCGGCUAACUUCGUGCCAGCAGCCGCGGUAAUUC
rnacentral:rRNA from 1 species